AUCAGAGAGCAGCUUCAGGGCAGAGAAAAGGACGAGGCCCAGCAGCUCAUGUUCCUGCAUGCCACCCACCCCGCGUGUCUCUCUGCACAGCAGAGAGGGCAGGACACGCUGGAGCCGCACUGCUGCAAGGUGGCUGUGGUGGAGAGGACUGUGGAGCUCACUGAGGAGCUUCCUGAUGACUUUCCACCCAGCGCCAUCCUGGCCAACUCAUUGAUCGCCAUGGG